rnacentral:lncRNA from 1 species
AUAUUUCUACCAGCUGAACACCUCAUCCCUUACGUGUACUAAACUAGAAGCUACUACUAGUUACCUACAGCUCAACAUUAGCUAUCUAGCUUUCUUAAGUGGUAAGCAACCCAAGUGUUGUCGACCUGCCGACAUGCAUGUUUACUUCUUAGGUAUGUAAUUUGUUGUUCCCAUUGCAUGCAUGCUACUAAGGCUCUGUUUCUUUAAAAAGUUCUAAUACUUUUUUUAGUCUCAACUAAAAAGUUUCUAGUCCCUAUCCGUUUUUUUCCAAGGACUAAACAGGAACUAGGGGUCAUUAAAUGACAUGUAAAAAGACCAUAUUACCCCUGACCAUAUACAUUACAUGUAUUUAUUAUUCACUGCAUAAACACGUACUAUUGACUGCAGAUGGCUUCAUACACAAAAAAAGAUCGCACAGUUGUCCAAGUACCAUUCACACAAUGCCCAUCCCUUGCUUCCUCACAGGCAAUGUUACAAAAAACAAUAACAUUCUUGUCUGUCCAAUGAGCUUUCGCAAUGGUUUUCGAAACAAAAAGAAGAUGAAUUUGCACAACUCUUUUCCUUGUAGACAGAAAACUGAAUAUGCAUAUACGAGAAAUUUAUACCUCUCCCACAACGCCGUCGUCGUCUCCAUCUUUAAAGCCUUCGCUGUCGUCCGCAUCUUCUGUGGGCACAGCAGAUGACAAUGCACGUUGCCGGCUUGCAACUUGAGAGGUGGAAAAGCCACGUCCUGUAACGCCUCGAAGGCCUCCUCCUCCCUGGGAAACAGACCGGGCUCGGCCUACACCGCGCCCAGUGCCAUGGGACACGGCCUUCCCACGCCCUCUGACGGCUCCGUCAACGGGAGCUGCGCGUGGGGCGACGAAUGGGCACCUGUGAGCGCCACCGAGGCUCAAAGACCGGGUCAGGCCUCCUCCUCCCUGGGAAAUAGACCGCCCGCGACCACGCCCAGUCGGAGAAGAACCAUGAACGGUCGUCUCGUCAAGGAGAAGCUGUUGGUACGAGCCCAACUCAGGGAAGUCCUCGAUGUUGCUGUUGAGAUCCAAAAAUCCAAUUCCUCUUCCCAGAUUCCCGCCGGCCGAUGAAACCUAAGAUGCAGGUUGAUGUGAGGGGAACCGGGAGAGCCACUGCGCCUCGUCGUCUUCAUCGGUGGCCAUGGGGGCGGCGGCUGCUCAGGGCACUGGCGGCGGCGGCUGCUCAGGGCACUGGCGGCGGGGAAGGGGAGAAGCGGCGGGGAAGGGAAGGGGAGGAGCGAGCGGAUGGGAGGGAGCGCGUGGAUAAGAUGCGGUGCGGGGGUAUGGUGGAAAAAAGUCCCUAAAAGUCCCUCCCGGAGGGACUUCUUCAAUUAGUCCCAAAUUACCACUUUUAGUCCCUAAAAGUCCCUCCUGUUUCUUUCUCAUGGGACUUUUAAGGACUUUUUUAGUCCCUACACCAGAAAGUCCCUGGAAAGAAACACCCCCUAAGACAUGGUUGAAUCAACAUCCCCCCCUCAACGUUGUCGAAGAAGCUUGAUGCCGAUCGUCCCGACCUUGUUGUGUAUUUUCUCGAACCGGACACAACCAAGUUUCUUCGUCGGGAUAUUCACCUUUUCAAACUGUAUUAUCUCGGGGUGGAGUGCCAACGUUGUUGUUGGCGUGGAACAGCUCCGACCACACCGCACUCGUUGUUGGCGCAGACACUAACUGCCAACAACAACGUACGUGCUCUAUGUCGAUUGUUAGCCCAAACUACAGACUAAAUUAAGGACAGUAAAACUGAACCUAAACUGAGCUCUCUCAGUGAUCAGCGUUUUUGACCGUCCAUUUUCGUGAUCUGGACAUUACUGGUCACUGGAUCACCCGUUUAAAACGAUAUGUCCCGCAUCUAGGAAUAACUGGACCGACUGUCCUGUGGGCUGCUGCUCCACAGCCCAAAACGGAUCCCUGCGGUUAACUGGGCCGUAGGCCAGCCUAUUCCAGCCCAGGCGUUUCGGUGAAGGAGGUCCACUCGUCCAGUUCGCUAAAGAGGUCCAUCGACUAGGGUUACAUAUCUAGGAUCGACCGGUGAGGGUUCAGUACUGAUGCGAGGAGUCGAUUGGAUCGACCGGAGGUUGCGGGAUCGAGGCAUGGCGCCCAUGCGCUUCGGUGAAGGAGGCCCGGUGGUAAGUAGAGUGGUGGUGCCUCACAUGACGACCAACGCGACUGGGCGGAUGGUCUCGUUGGGCAACGCCACGUCGCCACCAGGCGGUCACCGGGGCAGCGGACUGUCCAAAUCGAUUCGCCUCCAAUUGUCAGCGAGAAUCAAUCCUUAGUUAUACGGGACCAUUAACUACAAUCGAUGAGGCGCACUCACUGGUGGCCAAUUACUCGGGUCAGUUACAAAUACAAUUCAAUUGCGUCCAUUUAGCAGCCAUGGUUGAGACUCAUGUCGAUAAUUAGUCCCUCUUCCCUUCUACAAGUGUUUUCCCUCGUUGGUACCUACACACUCCCCAAAAUUCUGCAUGGCUUUUUUUUCAAUCGAUGUUGUUUUAUGUGCUCCCAAAUGAAUGCAGGCUCCAUUGAGUUUCACGGGAUUCACAGGAUUGGCUCAUUCUGCUAUGCUGAAACCUCGCAAGGUGAGGCACUACUUUCUCCUUUGUUCAUACUUGCCUGAGAGUAUUAUUCAUGAAUGUCUCCAUCUUGCAAUUUCUUAACUGGCUAACGUUUAAAUUAUUUGUUGUGGUCUAAUAUGAUUUCACAAAGUGCAUAGUCCACUUAGAGAAUAAAAAUAACGCUUUCUCGUUCUCUAUUGUAAAUAAAGCAGAUGCACUCAAAUUUACAAUUGUGAUUUUCCAGCAAUCGUGAUAUGUGCUAUGGACGGGUGUGUUUUCUGACAACAUAAUUCAAAAUGAAUGUGUUUACUCUUGGAGGAUGAAUUCAACCUCGGUACUGCUUGGUUCACUACUUCUGUAGGGGUUGUCUUCUACCUUCCAGCAGAUUCUGUGAAGCUGCAAUGGCUCAUGGACAGGUUAUUAUCCGUGCACUAUUGUGCCUCACGUUAAUUAACUUGCGCCGUAAUUUCAUAUGUUGGUAUUUCGGGUCUCUAUGUGGAACUGCCUGCUCUACUACAUGACAUCGCUAAGUCGUCAAUCCGUUAUUGAUUUUGACAACCUCCACAAAGGGGAAUGUGAGGAGUCAAACAAUUGGUCUACUGAUGAACUUGACAGUUAGUGUUUUUUUUUAUGGCAGAGGCAUUUAAUUUGAGUGUUAGGCUUCUUCCUUUUGGUAGCUGUUCAUUGUGGUUCUCUCAUUCCCCUAAAUUUUGGUAAUUGUCAGUUUUUUUUUUCGAUUGUAGGUGGCCAGUGCUUGUCUCCCUGUAGAGAUCGAGAAGAAGCGGAGCUAGCAGCUGUUUUGCAUGGUUUAUCUGAACUGAAGAAGUACUACGAUCGGCCACUGUGAGUAGAGACAGACUGCUCAAGUAUACCAGCUUUUCUGGGAAACAAGUCGAGAAAUGGUAUCUCAUGAAACAGUUCAGGAAGAUUUCCAUGCAUGCCGUGAAAAAGAUCAGCAACAAGAUGGCGCAUGAACUAGCAGCUCUAGGUAGAAGAAACGGUUACCACAAUAGAACAGGAUAUGUGCCCUCUCCCAUAAGGAUGUUACUUAAGGAGGAUUGUAAAACAUCUUUUGUGGUAAUGUAAUGGCUUGCUGAGCCUUUUCUCAAAAAAAUAAGUUGAUUGAAAGCAAAGAGAUUUAGAGUAAGAGGCUUUUAUUUUGCACUCAAGGCAAGAGCACGGUAGCAUUUCUUCUCACUCCAAUAUGAGAGAAUGAAUUGGAUAAUAUAGGCACCACAUUUUUUUUCCUAAAUUUUUAAUAAAAUUUGAAUUUCAAGUAAGUUACAAGUCAGCUAUCUCUGCUCUGUGUUCAAGUACUCUUGUAAGUUAGGGCAUUUGCAGUGCUACAUGGGUGAGUAUACCUUGUAUACAUAUUUUUACUCAAGCUGCAUCAAGCCCUAUAUCUCUCGAGUCAUUUCAUUUAUAAUCCUACAUAACUAUCUGUUAUAAAAACAAUUAUAAGUUGUAGGGAUGUUGCCGCAAUAUGCAUAUUAUUUUUAUGUUUGAUGGACUUCAAACCGAAUUUUUCCCUCCAUUUCACUUGUAUAUUCCUUUAACCAAUAACGACGACUGCUUCAUUGUAUUUCCACACGAGGGUAGUUGAUUUCACUAGAGAUACUACAAAAAAAUUGGAUUCCAGUGUUUUCACCAUAUUAUGUUGAUCUGAACCUAGUGUGCUUCCUCUCCAAUUUAUGCUUUGGUGUCAGACAUUAUAUGCUGGUCACAUAAUAAUUGAGAAAAGUACCAUAUUUUCUCUACAAUUAUUUUCUUAUCAUUUGUUAUCGCUAGCCUGUUGCCAGUUUAUCAUGGAUCAUGCUACUAGAAUUAUUGUAUUGGCCAGUGGCUACUAUUUAUUUAUGCAUCCAUCCAAGGAAUAUUAUACCUUCUAUUCUUUCUCACGUAUUUGUACUCUACUUUUUUACAAAAAAUCAUACUGUUGUGUUGUCAAAAUAGAGGAUCAUAGCAAAGGACGAAUUCAGUAGCUGAUUAUGACUUACAACUUCAGCUAUAUCCUCGAAGCAAGUACUGGUGCUCUAUUUUCUAUUCUUCAUUUCUUUUUGUCAUUCAAUUCGAAACAGCUUCGUUUUGUUGCAAACUUUUGCGUUUCUUCAAUCAUAUAUUUACAAAAAAAUACUAUUAUUCUACUAAGAAAAUUACGGGCGCAGCAACGCGCGCCAACAUGGUCUAGUAUGAACUACAACUGGAUGGAUAGCUAGUUAAACUAGCGGAGGAGGAUAAUGCUACACACGAACUAGAACUCUCAUACGCGCUACACACGAACGAACUAGAACUCUCAUACGCGUGCUAGUGAAAACACUUGAGGCUCGAUUGUAAUGGAAUGGAAAUGGCCUCAUUUUAUAACGAUGGACUCAAGUCCUUUUAUAGGUGACGCAAACCAACUAUGGUUGAGAUAUUUCUACAAGCUGUCCAACUCAUCUCUUACGUGUACUAGACUAAAGCUACUACUAGUUACCUACAGCUCAACAUUAGCUAGCUUGCUUGCUCAAGUGGUAAGCAACACAAGUGCUGCCGACAACUUAAGCAAGCUAGCUAACUAAUGUUGAGUUGUAGGUAACUAGUAGUAGUUUCUAGUCUACACACGAACUGAAACACACACACGCGUACUAGUGAGAACACUUGAGGCUGUAUUGUAAUGGAAU